CCUAGGGGUGCUGUGACAAAGGACCACAAACUGGGUGGCUCACGCAACAGAAAUUUCUUGCCUCACAGUUCUGGAGGCCAGACAUCCAAAAUCAAGGUGUCGGCAGGGCCACACUCUGAAACCUGUUGGGGAGAACCAUUCCUUGCCUCUUCUAGCAUCCCCUGCUUGUCAGUGUUCCUUGGUUUGCAGAUGCCUCUCUCCAAUCUCUCUUCUGUCAUCACAUGACUGUUUCUCUGUAUAUGUCUCUCCUCUUCUUAUAAGGAUGCCACUCAUAUUGGACGAAGGACCGCUCUACUCCAUUACGACCGCAUCUUAUCUAGUUACAUCUGCAAUGACCCUAUUUUCAAAUAACGUCGCAUUCUGAGUUCCUGGGGGUUGGGACUUCAACAGAUCCCUUUUGGGGACACAAUUCAAUCCAUAACGGGUGUCUUAGUUUGGAAUCCGUCCAAAAUCCACCCUGAGACAAGUAGCUCAGUGCCACUAGUUUGUUUGGGAGGUGAUCCCCAAAAUGGUGAAGGAGAGGGGACAGUGAAGGGUGAAUAUCACUGAUACAGCACCGGAAGGUGAGAGGAUGGCGCAGAGACUGGACAGGGUUCUGCUCUGCUGUCCACAAGGUCACUAGGAGUCGCAAUCAGCUCGACAGCGCUAACAACAAAAUCACUGUGGGCCACUGGGGCUCGAUCCCUCUGGAACCCUCUAAGAGGCUGUGGGAACUUGCCUUGGAAUUGUGUCCCCAAGGGCAAGGGUGUGGGGGUGUUUAUCCCCCAGAUGAGGGUCACUCAGAAAGCGUGAAAUCUUGGUCCUUCUUCUGCUUCAACAGGAGUCGCAGAAGCAUGUGCAGCCAGAGGAUGAUCCCGGCAGGGAAAUGUAGGAGGCCGCAGCUGUCCAGGAGCUGGCUCCAGGAGCCCCAGGCAGGAGAUGCUGCUAAGAUGAUCCAUGUGAUGUCUCUAGAUUCAAUUUCUCUCGCUCCCCAAGGCAAGGAACGACUCCUCUCUGUAUCCAUGACAUCCAGAGACAGCAGGGUGAGGCACUGCAUUUUCCAAAGGAGGCUGGUUUCUAAAACUUGAAUGUCUGCUUCAUGGCAAUAAAAAGGCUCAUGCUCCCA
rnacentral:lncRNA from 1 species